GACCAGCCAAUGCCUUGGCCAAGGCAUUCACUUCAACAAUCUUCUGGGCAGCAAAUGCAAGCCAUGAUUUAAUUUCCUGGUCUAGCUUAGGCUCGUUAAUUAGAUCAACAGCAGUGUGGAGAAGAGAGCAGGAGGUGGAGACCACAAGUUUGUCUACACGACAACAAGAACAUCAGUUCUAGCACAAAUCAACUUGGAUAAAGGAAAUCAUUUACUUCCAUAUCACAAGUACAAUCACAAGAUAAUGUCAAAAAGAAUACCCUUGCCCACAAUGCUCUCAAGCUCCUGUAGGACGCUAAGAGAUGCAGCAAGAUCAUUAGCCCAAAUGUUCCUUCCAUCAACCACUCCAGCAAAAAGGUAUUUUCCUGUAGGGAAUCCAACCUUGAUCAAAUCAAGGGUCUUGGUUCCGCGAACCAAAUCGAACCCAAAGCCAGUAACACCCUUCAAGGAAGUGAGGGUCUUG
rnacentral:lncRNA from 1 species